rnacentral:rRNA from 1 species
UACGUAGGGGGGCAAGCGUUGUCCGGAAUUAUUGGGCGUAAAGAGCUCGUAGGCGGCUUGUCACGUCGGGUGUGAAAGCCCGGGGGCUUAACCCCGGGUCUGCAUUCGAUACGGGCUAGCUAGAGUGUGGUAGGGGAGAUCGGAAUUCCUGGUGUAGCGGUGAAAUGCGCAGAUAUCAGGAGGAACACCGGUGGCGAAGGCGGAUCUCUGGGCCAUUACUGACGCUGAGGAGCGAAAGCGUGGGGAGCGAACAGG